CCUACGGGAGGCAGCAGUGGGGAAUUUUGGACAAUGGGCGCAAGCCUGAUCCAGCAAUGCCGCGUGCAGGAUGAAGGCCUUCGGGUUGUAAACUGCUUUUGUACGGAACGAAACGGUGAGCUCUAAUACAGUUUGCUAAUGACGGUACCGUAAGAAUAAGCACCGGCUAACUACGUGCCAGCAGCCGCGGUAAUACGUAGGGUGCGAGCGUUAAUCGGAAUUACUGGGCGUAAAGCGUGCGCAGGCGGUGAUGUAAGACAGAUGUGAAAUGCCCGGGCUCAACCUGGGACCUGCAUUGUGACUGCAUCGCUAGAGUACGGUAGAGGGGGAUGGAAUUCCGCGUGUAGCAGUGAAAUGCGUAGAUAUGCGGAGGAACACCGAUGGCGAAGGCAAUCCCCUGGACCUGUACUGACGCUCAUGCACGAAGACGGUGGGGAGGACGAACAGGAGUAGUAUACCUACGGUACGUCCGACCGACCCGUAACCGACUGUCACUGGUUGGUUGGGUUCGUUC
rnacentral:rRNA from 1 species